GGGAAAGUUUCCAGCCAUUGUGUAGACAUGGAUGAUAGCACAUAUUUCAACUGAUCGGUUUGUUUGCAUUCUAGAUCCCUGGUGCUCCUGAUGAGGAUGCUGUGAGAAUAUUUCUGGAAUUUGAACGGGUGGAGUCCGCAAUUAAAGGUAAAUUGCAUAGAUUAUAUAAGGCCCCAUUUGCUUGACAAGUUUCUGCGGGAGGGUUGGAAUACUACUGUGGUGAUUACACACUAUUAUUAAUUGUUACACUCAUUUGCUAAGGCUUGCAAAUUGAAUUGCAAAAGACAGAUGACUCUUUUUCAAAAAUUACUAAUCUAAUUUGCAGAUGCCUGUCUUCUUAGUGGUGUGCCUACAGUAUAAUGUACACACAUGCUAAUUAAACUGUAGUUUAAGAUCUAAAUCAUUUCAAUGCAAUAUAGGUGGUCAAACAAUAACUUUGGCACUUAUGCCCAUUUUUAUUUAUUGAUUGUUUCAAAACCAUGUAGAACACCUUCUGCCCAUUUCAUUCCAUUACCAUUGGUCAGUUUUACAUUGGGUUGAGUUUUUCGUCCAUGUUUCUAAAUACAAAGUAAGUUUCAAAUUUGAGAAGAAAUUACCCAAACUGGGGAAAAAAGAUUUGUCGGUCUCCAAUUCAACUGUUUUGGCCUAAAAAUUUUUAUUCAGUUUGAAUGCUUGACAAUUCACAUGCUCAUGAAUAGCCCUGUAAUUGUGUAUGAAAUGAGAUUGAUCGUACAGUUAACACAUUACUGAAGUAACCUGUAGACGUUAAAUUAAUUGCUUGGAGAAUGUUUGUUUUCAACGUUCCUCUUCUUUUUUUCAAAUCUUCACCAAGAAGAUAAUUCAUAUAAGUGCUUAGCUUAUUACAGGCUUGCAUAAGCAAAUGGGUGUCUAUUGCCUCUUACGUGUGUUUCUAUAAAGGAAUGAAUCACCCAGGCCAUGAUACCUUUAAAGGACCACUCUAGGCACCCAGACCACUUCAGCUUAAUGAAGUGGUCUGGGUGCCAGGUCCUUCUAGGCUUAACCCAUUUUUUCAUAAUUAUAGCAGUUUCAGAGAAACUGCUAUAAUUAUGAAUGGGUUAAGCCUUCCCCCUAAUCCUCUAGUGGCUGUCUCAUUGGCAGCCACUAGAGGCGCUUGCGUGCUUCUCACUGUGAUUUUCACAGUGAGAGCACGCAAGCGUCCAUAGGAAAGCAUUGUAAAUGCUUUCCUAUGCGACGGGCUGAAUGCGCGCGCAGCUCUUGCCGCGCGUGCGCAUUCAGCCGGCGGGGCGGAACGGAGGCGGAGAGGAGGAGGAGAGCUCUCCGCCCAGCGCUGGAAAAAGGUAAGUUUAAACCCCUUUUCCCCUUCCAGAGCCGGGCGGGAGGGGGUCCCUGAGGGUGGGGGCACCCUCAGGGCACUAUAGUGCCAGGAAAACGAGUAUGUUUUCCUGGCACUAUAGUGGUCCUUUAAGUAGCCAACAAUGGGAGGAAAAUGGGACAAAUAUGUUUUUAUACAGUGUAACCCCUUUGUUGCUAGGCUGUUUUAUAUUUCUAUGCUAAAACUACACAUAGGCUUUUGCAUUAACUGCAUUUUAACACCCAUAUGUUAGUGUUCUUCGAGUAACUCUCGUAUGUUAUAUGCAGAAAAUACAGAAUAUUUUUUUUUUUUAAUUGCUCUCAUUUAAAAAAAAUGUACUUUCGAUUUAAUUUCCUAUAAUGGGAACCACACCUUUGGCAAAUAUUGUUGAUUGUGUCACUUUUCUGCAUAACACAAGUAUUGCAAUUUUCAUUUAAUGUUGAGAAUCUGCAAUGUUUGCUAGGGAAUUGUGUAUUUAAUUCAACACCUAAUUUGUAAAACACUUGCUUACUCACAAUUGAAAAAGUCUACUCAUAUUGUUGUCAGAUAGGUAUUACUUAGCUGCCCGUAGGUAAUCUAUUGUUGAACGGUAUUACAUUUUUGAUUUAUUGCAUCUGAUUAUUCACUUGCUUCUGUUUCAGCUGUGGUUGAUCUAAAUGGAAGAUAUUUUGGUGGCAGAAUAGUGAAGGCAUCUUUCUACAACCUGGACAAAUUCAGAACUUUGGAUCUUGGCGAGUAACAAGAGAUUGAGAUCAUUCUCUUGACAGAUUGCCAUGGGUUGUCUGUUUCAACCAAGUGGAAAGGACAUCUCUAACUAACCCAGAGUGUGUAAAGUGGAGUGUGCCCUGCUCUCCUUUGAUACACCCGGUUAUAUUUGUCACGUUUAUUGUGAUGAGCUUUUUUUCCCUUUGUUACUUUUCGUUUUAUACCAUAAAAGACUUUGUGAAAACACAACCUUGUCUUGCCCCCUUUUUGAAAGCUGUUUUCUUUUUUUUUUUUUCUUAACACGUGUUUACACCAAUUAUGCACUUGUUUCCCGAGCAUUUGCUGAAUGCUAUUUAUUAUUGGGCUACAUAUAUAUUUCUGACAGUAUCAAAUCUGCACAGAUGUAUUUUAAGUUGUUGUUUUUUAAUUGUGUCAAGUGUUUAUCACUUUUUAAUCUUUAUGUAAAAAAAAAAAAUAUCCAAAUUAUAAUUGGUUUUGUUUCCAAUGGGCAAGACUUUUACACAUCUGUUUACAAUUAUACAUGUUUAAAGGGCAGACCAUAAUAGAGUUCAAUAUCCUAAACAUCGCAUAAUCUGUUUAAUAUUUAUAAUUUUUUACUUUUUAAAACAUAAACGGUUAAUAAUGAUUUUCUGCACUUGGAAUAUUUUUUUUUCAACUUUUUUACCUCUUCCAUAACUUUUAUUCCAUUUCUAUUCCAAAAGUGGUUAAUGAGAUAACUGGAAAAAAAGUAUGUGGAAUUCAAAUGGUCACUUGUUGAUUUAAAUGUCAUGAUGUUAAAGAGGAAGUUUUUGUAGUCUUAAAGUGGCUCUGUCACCUCAAACUUACCUUUCUCCUAAUUUUUUCAUUUCUCUUCUGCUUUCAGAAUCUAUUCUUCCUUUCUGAGCUUUUUCUUUUUAAAACAUAAGACAACUUCAGGACUAUCUCACAAUAUAAAUACAAUAGACCGCACACAGGGAUGAGCCCCUAUAGUCCAUAGAAAAAAUUAAAUGGAAGAUAUGUAAAGUAUGAAAAAAGUGCAUAUUUAUUGGGAUAAAAAAAUGACAUAAACCAAUGGCAUUAGAUUGUCAUGGCAGCCCUCAUAGGUACUCAAGGGUUCAAGCAGGCAUAAUUUAUUAUACAGAUGACAUGUUGUCUCGAAUAAAUAGCAUAGAUAUCCAAGCAAAAGAAACAAGCUUUGCAAAAAUAGGACAGAUUAAUGAGAGGAAUAGAAAUUGUCACAAUUCUUGCUACUGCCAGACAAGGGAGAGAUCACCCACACCACUACCCGAAAAACAAGUGAUGCAAGUACCCUGGACAUGUUUCGCACCUCCAUGAUGCUUUCUCAACAUGUAAUGGUGUGGGUGGUCUCUCCCUUGUUUGGCAGUAGCAGGUAUUGCGACAAUUUGUUUUUUCUCUCAUUCAUCUGUCCUAUUUUUGCAAAGCUUGUUUCUUUUGCUUGGAUAUAUGCGCUGUUUAUGGAGACAAUAUGUCAUCUGUAUAAUAUACUAUGCUUGCUUGAACCCAUCGAGUACCUAUGAGGGCUGCCAUGACAAUCUAAUGCCAUUAUUUUUUAUAUAUGCCAAUAAAUGUGCACUUACUUUCUAUAUCCUCCAUUUAAUUUUUUUCUAUGGACUAGAGGGGCUCAACCCUGUGUGUGGACUAUUGUAUUUUUAUAUUAUGAGAUAUUUUCUAUGAUUGGGAAAAGUCCAGCACCAGGAUCUAAACCCCAUUAACCCAUAUAUGAUCUCAGGAUUCCUAUCUAUGCACUAAGAAUCUACCUGACACUAACGAUACUACAGGUCUUGCUGCAUCGUUUGUACUUGGGAUUUUAUAUCUCCUCUUUUUCACAUUUUCAUGUUUCAACUUAUUAACAUAGGGGUUACUUUGUCUUAUGUAUUUUUUCCUACACUUGACAAAUGGUGCAGCAUAAGGUAAGCUCUACUAUCUUGAUAGGGAGUAGAGUUUGCCUAAUGCCUUAAAAGGGACACUAUAGUCAUCAGAACAACUAAAGCUUAAUGUAGUUGUACUGGUGUCUAAAUCCUGUUCUUGCAGACUUUUUGCUGUAAACACUGCAUUUUCAGAGAAAAGACAGUGUUUACAUUAAAGCUUAGUGCUGUGCAGUGUACAGCACUGAUGUUAAGCGCUAAACUUUCUCCAAAUAGAUGCAUUGAUUUGAAUGCAUCUUUAUGAGGAGAUGCUGUUCGGCUCCGUCCCGCCUCUUUGAUGAUCUCUGCCAAUCCAAUGGUUUUCCUGUGGGAAAACAAUGGAUUGGCUGACAUUAUCAAUUCUGAUAAUGCCAGCCAAGGAGGCAAACCUGUUAAGGGGGAGCAAGUGAACUAAAUGAUGGUUUUAACGCUAUAAGGUAAAGAAUACAUGUUUGUGUUCCUGACCCUUUCGUGUUCCUUUAAGCUCAACCCUUUGUUAAGAUUUUCAACUGUAGGAAAAAUACAUAAGACAAAAUAGCCCCUACUUUGUCUUAUGUUUUAAAGAAACAGAUCAGAAAUGAAGAAAAGAUUUCUUAAAGAGAAAAAGAAAAGGAAACAAUAGAAGAAAGACACGUUUGAGGUGACGGACCCACUUGAAGGACAAUAAUGGAUACAAUUGUUGGAUAACAUUAUUGCAGAGCCAUGGUGCUUCAUUUCUCAUUUUCUUUGUGAUUUUUGGGCUACAAAUAAAACCUAACCUUUUCACCAUGAAAUACUUGUCUGUCAGGUGUUAUAAUGCAAGAAGCAUUGGAUACAUUGCGGCCCGCUUUGGGAUUUUGAGAGGCCCAUUUGUGGGUUUUGUCGGAAUGACCACAAGCUUAAGGGGUCCAUGCACUUAGGGCCACCCAAUGGCCAUCUUUGAUCAGGGUCUGGGAGAAAGUGAGAAAAAGUCCCCUCCUUCCAGCAUACCAACGAACAACACUGCAGAGGGGAGGACCAGAUAAGGGAGAGCCCGGAGUCUGGGCCUGACAACCUUCAUUUCUAGACAGAUGCCAAUGGACCCCAG